rnacentral:lncRNA from 1 species
CUCAGAAGGGAAGAUGCUAAUAUAUUCACUCAGAGUUCAGAAAAGGCAGAUGGUUUGCUUUGGGCAAAAGUUGUCAGGAGAGGUUUUCAGACCAAAGCAAGGACAUCUUGAGGGGAGAGUCAAAAGGAAAGAAUUAAUCCUAUUUUCAGCUCUCUAUCCCUGAAUACUCUUAGUUCCUUCAAGCAGCAGUGGGCUAACAAGUGAUGCUACAGGACCGUAUGCCAAUGCAAGCGAGGACCCUGUGACCUUCAACAGACCUCUGCGUCACCAUGGAGCUUUGAGAUGAGUGUCAGAAGGAAGAACAAGCUCAUUUUGAAAAGUACACAGACGUUGGAAACUACAGCAUGCUAUCCCAGUGUCAUGGUGGAAGAACAAGGAACAGGACAUUCAAACAGUGGAUGACCAGGUCCCUACUUCCCAGGACUCGGCUUUCUUUGGAGGGAAGCUUAUCCAUGUUCCCCGAGGACCUACUACACACGUGAUUUCAGAGUGGACUGUUCAGUGUGGCUUGUCUGGGACUUAUAUUCUCAAUCUCAUCAUUGCCUUUCUGUGUCCAAAACCAAAGCAUCAGAGGUACAAGAAGGCAAAACUCCAUUUCCUCUGUGAGCACUGUUCCUGUUUGACUGAGGAAUCUGGCUAGAACAAGAAGAAAUAGGGCCAGAGUUGGGGCUAUGUAUGUAGAAAUUUUGGGUGGAUUUAAAGAAAUCAACGUCUUGGAUUUUGUCACAAGAAAAAUCACUUAGACACCCUACAGUUAUGGAUAAGAAACCAAAUGGAAUGCUUGAUUCAUUCUAUUAUGCUUUUAAGUAACUAUUACAAUGAAUGAUUCAUUAAUUACUAUGAAAGAGCAAGGUUUCAACAAAAACAAAUACGAAUAAAUUAAAUAAUUUCUAGCGAAACUUCAUUUGUUAUGGAAUAGCACCUAAUCUAACUUUUAUUUUGCUAAAUAAAAAAGAGUUUUGGUAUCUUAUUUCAGGUAUUGAAAUGCCUCGGGUCUUGCUCUGGACAAACACAUUGCCCUGGGACCGGCUGCUCACAGCAUUUUGGCUUUGACACGGCAGCUCUGACAUUAAAAAGCCCUUAACUAACCAUUUGCAACAUAUCA